GGGGGCGACAGGUUUCGACGGGAUUGCACCUGCGCACUGGCUGCAUACCGAGGUCUGGGGACUCGUUAAACCACCAGAAAACAAUAGUCGCAAACGACUAUAAUUACGCUCUGGCUGCUUAAGUCAGCCAGCGUCCCUUUGAAUCAUUCCUGCGGAUUUUAAGGGACGACAUUAGCAGGAUGGUCUUUCAGGCUUAGUCCAGAGUCCUGAAAAACGAGAUUUAAAUGGACUGGCGCUAUAAAUACCCUGCCUGCGGGGGAUUUAUAGUGCGAGACUUAAAACACAGGAUAAGUAUGUAGUAUGCCGCUGCCAGGCAUUUUCGGAAGUGGGUUCGAUUCCCACCGCCUCCACCA
rnacentral:tmRNA from 2 species